AUACGUAUGUCGCAAGCGUUAUCCGGAUUUAUUGGGCGUAAAGCGCGUCUAGGCGGCUUAGUAAGUCUGAUGUGAAAAUGCGGGGCUCAACCCCGUAUUGCGUUGGAAACUGCUAAACUAGAGUACUGGAGAGGUAGGCGGAACUACAAGUGUAGAGGUGAAAUUCGUAGAUAUUUGUAGGAAUGCCGAUGGGGAAGCCAGCCUACUGGACAGAUACUGACGCUAAAGCGCGAAAGCGUGGGUAGCAAACAGGAUUAGAUACCCUGGUAGUCCACGCCGUAAACGAUGAUUACUAGGUGUUGGGGGUCGAACCUCAGCGCCCAAGCUAACGCGAUAAGUAAUCCGCCUGGGGAGUACGUACGCAAGUAUGAAACUCAAAGGAAUUGACGGGG
rnacentral:rRNA from 1 species